UGGUGGACCUAACAGGGAGCAGCUGGCAAGGAGGAGAGUGAGUUACAGAGUCCGACCCUCACCUUUGUGCCACUGAGGAUAGAAGAGGGGUUAGCAGCUACUUUCCUCCCUGGUCUAAGAGCUCAGGAGCAUGAUUCCUAGACAUACCUGGGCAACUAACCUUGUUCCAGUCCACAUCGCUGAAUGGAGCCAUGCCUGGAGACGGCUGUUUGGAGUGGAGGACGUUGGUGGUUACAGAGGACUGUCUUUAGGAGUGGACGGGAUCAUACUGCACACACUGUUUAGUCAUAUUCCAGAGAUUGAUGAAGGGCACCUGGCUCAGCCAGAGAAUAUAUCCCGAAAGCUCCAGAUUCCAAAUUUCUGGCUCUCCAACCUCUACCCAGUAGACUUUUCCAUUUCAUCUGUUGACUGGAAUCUUCAAGCAGAUUUCUAAAAAAUACAUAUUUUGUCUAGUAUCUUAUUGUGCUGAGGAAGACAGUUAAUCCAGACCCCUUAGUCCUUCAUUAUCAGAAACAUUUCCCAACAUGUAUUACUCAGCAAAGCCAAAUAAAAGCUAUGCCAUAAA